rnacentral:rRNA from 1 species
UCCGUAGGCGGACUAAUAAGUCAGGGGUGAAAUCCAACAGCUUAACUGUUGAACUGCCUUUGAUACUGUUAGUCUUGAAUUAUAUGGAAGUAGAUAGAAUGUGUAGUGUAGCAGUGAAAUGCUUAGAGAUUACACAGAAUACCGAUUGCGAAGGCAGUCUACUACGUAUAUAUUGACGCUAAUGGACGAAAGCGUGGGGAGCGAACAGGAUUAGAUACCCUGGUAGUC